rnacentral:rRNA from 1 species
AUUGAACGCUGGCGGCAGGCCUAACACAUGCAAGUCGAGCGGAGCGGCGGACGGGUGAGGAAUGCCUAGGAAUCUGCCUGGUAGUGGGGGAUAACGUCCAGAAACGGGCGCUAAUACCGCAUACUAUCAGAUGAGCCUAGGUCGGAAUAGGUAGUCGGUGGGGUAAAGGCUUACCAAGGCGACGAUACGUAACUGGUCUGAGAGGAUGAUCAGUCACACUGGAACUGAGCCACGGUCCAGACUCCUACGGGAGGCAGCAGUGGGGAAGAUGGGACAAUGGGCGAAAGCCUGAUCCAGCCAUGCCGCGUGUGUGAAGAAGGCCUUCGGAUUGUAAAGUACUUUAAGUUGGGAGGCGUUACCCGCAGAAUAAGCACCGGCUAACUUCGUGCCAGCAGCCGCGGUAAUUC